UCCCGUGUGGCUCAGUUGGUAGAGUUUGGAGCUUGCAACGCCAGGGUUGUGGGUUCGAUUCCCACAGGGGAC
rnacentral:tRNA from 1 species